UUUUUUUGUAAUAUUUAAUUUCAAACUUAUUACAAUGAUAAAGGAGAAACAGCAUUGAGGUGGGUAAAAAAAACAAAGAGGAAUAGUAUCCAUCUGCUCCCUUCAAGAAAAGACACCAAAACAAAAACUAAACCAGUGUACUCUGGUGUAUAUGUUUCUGUGGUCAUCCCCUGAUAAAAUUACAUUGGCUUAUUAAAAGUGUGGUAAAUGUAUAUUUUAAAUUAUAUUCAGUUUUGACGGUUUCGUGGUAAAACCAAAAAAUAAUGGGCCUCUUUUUGAAAGGAGAUUUCUGGCCCCGAAACGACCUGAGACAUUCUCACUUUGGUUUUAUGAAGUUAAAAAGAUGAAGGUUUGAGCGUGUGUUUUUUGUCAGUUUGGGCGUGGAGCCCGUGGACCGGGACGUGAUCAGACAGCCUCCUCGAAACGUCAAAGACAGCAUCAUCACUCGCAGUCUGCUCACCAAAGUGCUGGUGUCGGCGCUCAUCAUCGUCUGCGGGACGCUGUUUGUCUUCUGGAGAGAGUUGCAGGACAACAUGAUCACUCCUCGAGACACCACCAUGACCUUCACCUGCUUCGUCUUCUUUGACAUGUUCAACGCUCUGAGCUCCCGUUCACAGACUCGUAUGGUACAUGAGAUGGGUCUGUGCAGUAACAGGACCUUCUGUUACGCCGUCCUGGCCUCCAUCAUGGGUCAGCUGCUCGUCAUCUACUUCCCUCCUCUGCAGAGCAUCUUCCAGACUGAGAGCCUCAGCAUCUUUGGUAAGAAUAUUUCACUCC